rnacentral:rRNA from 1 species
GACGAACGCUGGCGGCGUGCUUAACACAUGCGAGUCGAACGGAAAGGCCCUGCUUUUGUGGGGUGCUCGAGUGGCGAACGGGUGAGUAACACGUGAGUAACCUGCCCUUGACUUUGGGAUAACUUCAGGAAACUGGGGCUAAUACCGGAUAGGAGCUCCUGCUGCAUGGUGGGGGUUGGAAAGUUUCGGCGGUUGGGGAUGGACUCGCGGCUUAUCAGCUUGUUGGUGGGGUAGUGGCUUACCAAGGCUUUGACGGGUAGCCGGCCUGAGAGGGUGACCGGCCACCUUGGGAAUGAGAUACGGCCCAGACUCCUACGGGAGGCAGCAGUGGGGAAUAUUGCACAAUGGGCGGAAGCCUGAUGCAGCAACGCCGCGUGCGGGAUGACGGCCUUCGGGUUGUAAACCGCUUUCGCCUGUGACGAAGCGUGAGUGACGGUAAUGGGUAAAGAAGCACCGGCUAACUACGUG